AAGCAUCUUCCCAAGUUAACACCCUGUUGAACAUUAAAAUACUAAACAAAAUUAGAAUAGAGUUCAAGGCAAAUGUUAUGGAUGUCCACCUCCUUCACCAAAGGCAAUAUUAAACUGCCACUCAGUAUCAGACCAGCUAUGUUUGGACAUGAAGGAACAUUAUUUCCAUAAUUAGUACACAUGAGCAGUUGGUAAUAUCCUCCUAUUUUGUUCUCUUCAUAGAGUUAUAAAAGCCAAAGCCCAUAGAAAAAAUCAGUAUCUAAAAUUCAAUGGUUG
rnacentral:misc_RNA from 1 species